rnacentral:rRNA from 1 species
GAUGAACGCUGGCGGCGUGCCUAAUACAUGCAAGUCGAGCGAACGGACGAGAAGCUUGCUUCUCUGAUGUUAGCGGCGGACGGGUGAGUAACACGUGGAUAACCUACCUAUAAGACUGGGAUAACUUCGGGAAGCCGUAGCUAAUACCGGAUAAUAUUUUGAACCGCAUGGUUCAAAAGUGAAAGACGGUCUUGCUGUCACUUAUAGAUGGAUCCGCGCUGCAUUAGCUAGUUGGUAAGGUAACGGCUUACCAAGGCAACGAUGCAUAGCCGACCUGAGAGGGAGAUCGGCCAAGCUGGAGUUGAGAACCGGGCAAGACCCCUAGGGGGGGCAGCAGUAGGGAUUCUUCCAGAAUGGGCGAAAGCCUAACGGGACAACCCGGGGUGAGUGAUGAAGGUUUGCGGAUGGUAAAACUUUGUUUUUAGGGAAGAAAAAAUGUGAAAGUAACGGGGCACAUUUUGGGGGUACCUAAUAAAAAAGCCACGUCUAACUACGG